AACGCUAGCUACAGGCUUAACACAUGCAAGUCGAGGGGCAGCAUGAACUUAGCUUGCUAAGUUUGAUGGCGACCGGCGCACGGGUGAGUAACGCGUAUCCAACCUUCCGUACACUCAGGGAUAGCCUUUCGAAAGAAAGAUUAAUACCUGAUGGUAUGAUGGGAUUGCAUGAUAGCAUCAUUAAAGAUUUAUCGGUGUACGAUGGGGAUGCGUUCCACUAGAUAGUAGGCGGGGUAACGGCCCACCUAGUCGACGAUGGAUAGGGGUUCUGAGAGGAAGGUCCCCCACAUUGGAACUGAGACACGGUCCAAACUCCUACGGGAGGCAGCAGUGAGGAAUAUUGGUCAAUGGGCGCGAGCCUGAACCAGCCAAGUAGCGUGAAGGAUGAAGGUCCUACGGAUUGUAAACUUCUUUUAUAAGGGAAUAAAGUCACCUACGUGUAGGUGUUUGUAUGUACCUUAUGAAUAAGCAUCGGCUAACUCCGUGCCAGCAGCCGCGGUAAUACGGAGGAUGCGAGCGUUAUCCGGAUUUAUUGGGUUUAAAGGGAGCGUAGACGGGUCGUUAAGUCAGCUGUGAAAGUUUGGGGCUCAACCUUGAAAUUGCAGUUGAUACUGGCGUCCUUGAGUACGGUUGAGGCAGGCGGAAUUCGUGGUGUAGCGGUGAAAUGCUUAGAUAUCACGAAGAACUCCGAUUG
rnacentral:rRNA from 1 species